UGCAGCCUUGUCAAAUUCAGUAUGUCCUCCUUAGUGGAUGGCACUGGCCAAAAUGGCUGCCAUAAUGAAGUCGUAGUUCAUGGGCCCCGUGGUUCGCACACAUGGCUAUCGGGGAUAGAAACGUACUACGCACAAAG